GACGAACGCUGGCGGCGUGCUUAACACAUGCAAGUCGAACGGAAAGGCCCUGCUUUUGUGGGGUGCUCGAGUGGCGAACGGGUGAGUAACACGUGAGUAACCUGCCCUUGACUUUGGGAUAACUUCAGGAAACUGGGGCUAAUACCGGAUAGGAGCUCCUGCUGCAUGGUGGGGGUUGGAAAGUUUCGGCGGUUGGGGAUGGACUCGCGGCUUAUCAGCUUGUUGGUGGGGUAGUGGCCUACCAAGGCUUUGACGGGUAGCCGGCCUGAGAGGGUGACCGGCCACAUUGGGACUGAGAUACGGCCCAGACUCCUACGGGAGGCAACAGUGGGGAAUAUUGCACAAUGGGCGGAAGCCUGAUGCAGCAACGCCGCGUGCGGGAUGACGGCCUUCGGGUUGUAAACCGCUUUCGCCUGUGACGAAGCGUGAGUGACGGUAAUGGGUAAAGAAGCACCGGCUAACUACGUG
rnacentral:rRNA from 1 species